GACGAACGCUGGCGGCGUGCUUAACACAUGCAAGUCGAACGGUAAGGCCCUUUCUGGGUUCCCCGAGUGGCUUACGGGCGAGUAACACGCGGGUGAGCUACCCUGCUCUUUGGGAUAAGUAUCGGUAAGUGACUCUAAUUACUGCCAGGUCUACGCGAUGCAUGCAUUGUGUUUGAAAGAUGUUUCGGUUUGGGAUGGGACCGCGGCCUAUUAGCUUGUUGGUGGGGUGAUGGGCUAUCACGGCGACGACGGGUAGCCGGCCUGAGAGGGUGUCCGGCCACACUGGGACUGAGAUACGGCCCGGACUCCUACGGGAGGCAGCAGUGGGGAAUAGUGCACAAUGGGCGCAAGCCUGAUGCAGCGACGCCGCGUGGGGGAUGACGGCCUUCGGGUUGUAACCCCCUUUCAGGACAGACGAAGCGUAAGUGACGGUAUGUGAAGAAGAAGCAACGGCCAACUACGUG
rnacentral:rRNA from 1 species